rnacentral:rRNA from 1 species
UGAAUACGAGACGCUAAGGCGUCGAAGUAGUGUAUGUCAUACUUCCAAGAAAAGCUUGCACUGUCAUAGAUAAAAAACGCCUGUACCAUAACCGACACAGGUGGGUAGGUAGAGUAUACUAAGGGGCGCGAGAUAACUCUCUCUAAGGAACUCGGCAAAAUAACUCCGUAACUUCGGGAGAAGGAGUGCCUUAUUCGUAAGGUUGCAAUAACAAGAUCCAAGCAACUGUUUAUCAAAAACACAGGUCUCCGCUAAGUCGUAAGACGAUGUAUGGGGGCUGACGCCUGCCCAGUGCCAGAAGGUUAAAGAAGUUGGUUAGCAAUUGCGAAGCUGAUAACUGAAGCCCUGGUGAACGGCGGCCGUAACGAUAACGGUCCUAAGGUAGCGAAAUUCCUUGUCGGGUAAGUUCCGACCCGCACGAAAGGCGUAAUGAUUUGGAUACUGUCUCGGAGAGGGGCUCGGUGAAAUAGACUUGUCUGUGAAGAUGCGGACUACCUGCACCAGGACAGAAAGACCCCAUGAAGCUUUACUGUAACUUGAAAUUGAAAUUGGACUUUAUUCGCGCAGUAUAGGUGGGAGGCGUUGAUUAUAAUCUUGUGGGAUUAUUGGAGCCAUCAGUGAGAUACCACUCUUGUAAUGUUAGAUUUCUAACUUUGAAUCAUUAUCUGGUCAAAGAACAGUUUCAGGCGGGCAGUUUGACUGGGGCGGUCGCCUCCUAAACGGUAACGGAGGCGUACAAAGGUUUCCUCUGAACGGUUAGAAAUCGUAUCUAGAGUGUAAAGGCAUAAGGAAGCUUGACUGUGAGACCUACAAGUCGAGCAGGGACGAAAGUCGGUCUUAGUGAUCUGACGGUACUGAGUGGAAAGGCCGUCACUCAACGGAUAAAAGUUACUCUAAGGAUAACAGGCUGAUCUCCCCCAAGAGUUCACAUCGAGGGGGAGGUUUGGCACCUCGAUGUCGGCUCAUCGCAUCCUGGGGCGGUAGUACGUCCCAAGGGUUGGGCUGUUCGCCCAUGAAAGCGGUACGCGAGCUGGGUUCAGAACGUCGUGAGACAGUUCGGUCCAUAUCCGGUGUAGGCGUUAGAAUAUUGAGAGGAGCCUUCUUUAGUACGAGAGGACCGAGAAGGACAUACCUCUGGUGUACCAGUUAUCGUGCCAACGGUAAACGCUGGGUAGCUAUGUAUGGAGUGGAUAACCGCUGAAAGCAUCUAAGUGGGAAGCCCACCUCAAGAUAAGUAUUCUCA